rnacentral:lncRNA from 1 species
AUGGCAAAAACAAAAUAUGCAUUCAGUGAACUUUGCCAAACUCUCUUCUGGUCCUGGCUUAGCUCUCCCAUUCCUGUCUUCUUUAGGCCCAGUUUCCUCAACAAUGAAAUGGGAAUAAUUAUCCCAGGUCGCACUUCUCUCUGGGCUUACCCUGGGAAUCAAAUGAUUGAGCUUUGUCUUCUAGUAAAAUUGAUGCUCCAAGAAGAUACACAACGUUGA